rnacentral:rRNA from 1 species
GCGUGGACGAUGAAGGCCCUAGGGUUGUAAAGUCCUUUCACCGGUGACGAUAAUGACGGUAGCCGGAGAAGAAGCCCCGGCUAACUCCGUGCCAGCAGCCGCGGUAAUACGGAGGGGGCUAGCGUUGUUCGGAAUUACUGGGCGUAAAGCGCACGUAGGCGGAUUGUUAAGUCGGGGGUGAAAUCCCGGGGCUCAACCCCGGAACUGCCUUCGAUACUGGCAAUCUUGAGGUCGAGAGAGGUGAGUGGAAUUCCGAGUGUAGAGGUGAAAUUCGU